rnacentral:rRNA from 1 species
CCGGACCUGACUGCUAUCGGAUUGGUACUAAGCCAUGCGAGUCAUUGUAGCAAUACAAGGCGGACGGCUCAGUAACACGUAGUCAACCUAACUCGUGGACGUGGAUAACCUCGGGAAACUGAGAAUAAACCACGGUAGAUCAUAGUGCCUGGAAUGGCUUAUGGUCCAAACAGUUUACUGCCAUGGGAUGGGACUGCGGCCUAUCAGCUUGUUGGUGAGGUAAUGGCCCACCAAGGCGAUUACAGGUACGGGCUCUGAGAGGAGAAGCCCGGAGAUGGGUACUGAGACACGGACCCAGGCCCUAUGGGGCGCAGCAGGCGAGAAACCUUAGCAAUGUGCGAAAGCACGACUGGGUCAGUCCGAGUGAUUCCUGAUAAGGGAGUCUUUUGCCUGUCCUAAAAGCACAGGUGAAUAAGGGGUGGGCAAGUCUGGUGUCAGCCGCCGCGGUAAUACCAGCACCUCGAGUGGUCAGGACGUUUAUUGGGCCUAAAGCAUCCGUAGCCGGCUCUGCAAGUCUUCGGUUAAAUCCACCUGCUCAACAGAUGGGCCGCUGGAGAUACUACAGAGCUAGGGAGUGGGAGAGGCAGACGGUAUUCAGUGGGUAGGGGUAAAAUCCUCUGAUCCAUUGAUGACCACCAGUGGCGAAGGCGGUCUGCCAGAACACGUUCGACGGUGAGGGAUGAAAGCUGGGGGAGCAAACCGGAUUAGAUACCCGGGUAGUCCCAGCUGUAAACGAUGCAAACUCGGUGAUGCAUUGGCUUAUGGCCAAUGCAGUGCCGCAGGGAAGCCGUUAAGUUUGCCGCCUGGGAAGUACGGACGCAAGUCUGAAACUUAAAGGAAUUGGCGGGGGAGCAC